rnacentral:lncRNA from 1 species
UGGGAGAAACAGGUUGUGAGGAUCAAUGAGGAUCUUCCCAAUAUCUUCAGCCCUUUUGCAGGCUCGUACAAUCAAGAAGCGAUACAAGAGCUACUAUAUUAACUGAAAUGUUAAUGUGAAAUCAGAGGAAAUAAAUUAGGUUAUGCAUGAAUUUGUUUUCUUCCUCCAACUUUGUAAAGCAACACAGCCAUGUUCGUUGCAAAAACUUACAGUAGCAAGUGUUGAAAGAGGCUGAGUUAAGGUGGAAGAUUAUUUAGCAAGCUUAAUUUUGCAGGCUUAGAGAUAUUCCUCCAAUGUCAUACACAAGCCCAAGUCUUGGAAGAGAGUGGGAGAUUUUAGGAUGCCAUUUUAUGGGUCUUACUUCUAAAGAGGCCAUGACAACUGAUGGCAUUGAGAAAUUACCUUUGUUUAUUUUGAGAGACUAACAAGUGACUUGUUAGGGUUGUUCUGGAGGAAUUAAGAACACCUAGUUUGUGCUCUUUGCUACAUGAUGUUUAUAUUUCACAGCAUAACAUCAUAAUCCCUUCCAUGCCUAAGCCUGUUCAUCCUUUUCACUAUAGUUCCUUCUAAAAGGGAUAAAGAGACAGAGGGAAGCAUAAAACUAGAAGCAUUGAACUCCAUAAACAUGAAGAACAGUUAAAAGUGAUGAGGCAGGAAUGGUCAAGAGAACACAUUCUUUUCAAUGAAAGACUAAAUGAAUUUGUGAUCAUAAACAUCUAGUGCUAAAAAUUUUAGAUGUUAAGAGAAACAAGAAAACAAAUGAUAGUAUCCAUAAUAUAGAUAUCAUUGAUGUCCAAUAGCUUGAGUAAACAAUACAAAAGGGAAAAAUAAAGAAAGAAAAUCCUCGAAGCAAUUCAACAAAGCAAAUAGGAACAAACAACAUACUUGUUGGCCAAACAUGCAAAUAUAAAGCACACUGAUGCUUGUUAUGGCUGAAUAAGUAAUAAUUUCUGUAAUAUCUAAUACAAAACAAAAAUAUCUAAUAGAACUUUGAUUUUCAGACUCUUUAGGAUAGGAACAAGGCUGAACGCUUCCUAGGAAGGCAAGAGUGUAUGCGAAAAAAAAUUCUGGCACGUUAUUUUUGACAUGUUAAAAGCAUUCAACAGCUAUCUUAGAUGAAUUGAUUGAAAAGUUUC